rnacentral:rRNA from 1 species
GGAGGCGCCCAAAGGUUCCCUCAGCCUGGUUGGUAAUCAGGUGGUGAGUGUAAGUGCACAAGGGGGCUUGACUGUGAGACUGACAGGUCGAGCAGGGACGAAAGUCGGGACUAGUGAUCCGGCACCUACUUGUGGAUGUGGUGUCGCUCAACGGAUAAAAGGUACCCCGGGGAUAACAGGCUGAUCUUGCCCAAGAGUCCAUAUCGACGGCAUGGUUUGGCACCUCGAUGUCGGC